UACGAAGGGGGCUAGCGUUGCUCGGAAUCACUGGGCGUAAAGGGUGCGUAGGCGGGUCUUUAAGUCAGGGGUGAAAUCCUGGAGCUCAACUCCAGAACUGCCUUUGAUACUGAGGAUCUUGAGUCCGGGAGAGGUGAGUGGAACUGCGAGUGUAGAGGUGAAAUUCGUAGAUAUUCGCAAGAACACCAGUGGCGAAGGCGGCUCACUGGCCCGAUACUGACGCUGAGGCACGAAAGCGUGGGGAUCAAACAGG
rnacentral:rRNA from 1 species